UGCAGUCGAACGAUGAUCCCCAGCUUGCUGGGGGGAUUAGUGGCGAACGGGUGAGUAACACGUGAGUAACCUGCCCUUGACUCUGGGAUAAGCGUUGGAAACGACGUCUAAUACCGGAUAUGACUCCUGGCCGCAUGGUCUGGGGGUGGAAAGAUUUUUUGGUCAAGGAUGGACUCGCGGCCUAUCAGGUAGUUGGUGAGGUAAUGGCUCACCAAGCCGACGACGGGUAGCCGGCCUGAGAGGGUGACCGGCCACACUGGGACUGAGACACGGCCCAGACUCCUACGGGAGGCAGCAGUGGGGAAUAUUGCACAAUGGGCGAAAGCCUGAUGCAGCAACGCCGCGUGAGGGACGACGGCCUUCGGGUUGUAAACCUCUUUUAGUAGGGAAGAAGGGAGCUUGCUCUUGACGGUACCUGCAGAAAAAGCACCGGCUAACUACGUGCCAGCAGCCGCGGUAAUACGUAGGGUGCAAGCGUUGUCCGGAAUUAUUGGGCGUAAAGAGCUCGUAGGCGGUUUGUCGCGUCUGCUGUGAAAUCUGGGGGCUCAACCCCCAGCCUGCAGUGGGUACGGGCAGACUAGAGUGCGGUAGGGGAGAUUGGAAUUCCUGGUGUAGCGGUGGAAUGCGCAGAUAUCAGGAGGAACACCGAUGGCGAAGGCAAAUCUCUGGGCCGUAACUGACGCUGAGGAGCGAAAGCAUGGGGAGCGAACAGGAUUAGAUACCCUGGUAGUCCAUGCCGUAAACGUUGGGAACUAGAUGUAGGGGCCAUUCCACGGUUUCUGUGUCGCAGCUAACGCAUUAAGUUCCCCGCCUGGGGAGUACGGCCGCAAGGCUAAAACUCAAAGGAAUUGACGGGGGCCCGCACAAGCGGCGGAGCAUGCGGAUUAAUUCGAUGCAACGCGAAGAACCUUACCAAGGCUUGACAUAUACCGGAAACGUCCAGAGAUGGUCGCCCCGCAAGGUCGGUAUACAGGUGGUGCAUGGUUGUCGUCAGCUCGUGUCGUGAGAUGUUGGGGUUAAGUCCCGCAACGAGCGCAACCCUCGUUCUAUGUUG
rnacentral:rRNA from 1 species